AUUGAACGCUGGCGGCAGGCCUAACACAUGCAAGUCGAACGAGUGGCGGACGGGUGAGUAAUGUCUGGGAAACUGCCUGAUGGAGGGGGAUAACUACUGGAAACGGUCGCUAAUACAGCAUACCAUCAGAUGUGCCCAGAUGGGAUUAGCUUGUUGGUGGGGUAACGGCUCACCAAGGCGACGAUCCCUAGCUGGUCUGACAGGAUGACCAGCCACACUGGAACUGUGGGACGGUCCAGACGCCUACGAGUGGCAGCAGUGGGGAAUAUUGGACAAUGGGCGAAAGCCUGAUGCAGCCAUGCCGCGGGUAUGAAGAAGGCCUUCGGGUUGUAAAGUACUUUCAGCGGGGAGGCGUUACCCGCAGAAGAAGCACCGGCUAACUCCGUGCCAGCCGCCGCGGUAAUAC
rnacentral:rRNA from 1 species